GCAGGGCCAACUGGGUCAAAUGUGGGUCUGCUCACAGCCCACCUGAUGAGCAGGACAGAAGUACUGGGGAACCGCCUCGUGUUGAGAUCGGACCCGCCUGCUCCUCAGCCCUCCCGAGGACCCCACUUUCUUCUGCUGCCCAGAAGAUCUCGGAAUUCUCUGCUGUCCCGGACACACUGCGAACUACCUAACCACAGUUCCUAGGCCAUCUCCAGACUGCACCCCUGCCCUGAAGCCGUCUCCUCAUCCAGAGGCCUAUAAACAGGCACACCACACGUUGCUGUUCCCCACUCAGGAGCUCUCGGUGCUGUUUUGUUCUGCGUUUGGCUACAGUCAUUACUGGGAGGCAUUGAAACAGGGCGCAGUUUGGCAUGUCUCAGAAACACUGACCGGACCACGUGAACAAAGACCAAUUGCUUGGGUUACUUAAUUGCCGCAUGAGAUCUUCCUCACUGCCUCCCCCUCCCCCCUCUCUUUUCUCUAUCAAACUUGAAGCAUGCACAGCAACAGUUUCUUCCUCACCUCCCACUCCUCAGCCCACCACAAUCUGGAGUUGACUCCUACUACAAUCCAGAGGGUGUUCUCAGUCAUGUGUCCUCCAUCUUGUAAUUGCCAGAUCUGACCCUCCUCAGCCCUCCUGCAUUCAGGGUGGCGCUGGGUAAUGCCGGAUUCACCCCCCCAACCAAGCUUCUGUCACCUGCUGCGGCCCUGUUCCUCUCCCUAGGUGCUCCUGGCACUGCCAGAUUCUCGGGGAUUGGCAGUGGCAGUGGGAGUUUCUCUCUCUCUCUCUCUCUCUCUCUGCUGCACCCACCCUCCAGGACUAGGUCUCCCUCCUGGCUUUCCUGGCUGUCUUCCCUGCAGAUUCUGCCAGCAGGAGGCACUGAAACUUCCUGCUUCAGUCUCCAAUCCCGUGAUUGGCCGCUGUGGCCCUUGGUGGUGGUGGUAGCCAUGCCAGAAAUCUGGACAACAGCCUCCUGGGAGAAGCUCCUUCUUCAGGGUCCUGUGCCUGGAUCCUGGCAGCUUCUCAGCACAUGUCUCCACAGGGCGACUGCAGGUGUGGACUGCAGGUGUGGACUGCAGGUGUGGACUGCAGGUGUGGACCGCAGGUGUGGACAGGGCUCUGGCUCAGGCUGGGCCAGUGUCUGACCCCGCACACCCAUCUCCUCUAGCUGCACCUGCCGGCAGCCUCCCCCUUUUGACACCUUGACAUCUUUGAAACUGACUGUAUAGACCGGGUUCUCUCAGCCUAGCACGCCUGAGUCCCAGCCCUGGGAGGCUGAGGCUGUUCUGCUGUGAGUUUGAGGCCAGCCUGAACUCCAGGCGUGGCUCGGUUUCCCGCCUGGGCCCUGGGUGUGGGCUGAUGAGGCUGGCCCCCUGCAGGCCUGUGUCUCUUUGUCUGACCUCCUUCACCUUUGGCAUAGUCUACUUGGCGAUUUAACCCUCUGCGUCAUCCUGGGUGCUCACAGCUCCCCAAAUCAGACUCACCAUCCACACCGGGGAUCCAUCCCCAUCCACCUCACCGCCUCUGUGGGCUGUUCCACAGCACCCUAAAUCUUACACAUUUAAGACCAUAUUUAUUCUCUGGUCCCCCUCCUCUUCCUCUCUGUCUUCCUCCCCCUUGCCUCCUCCAACCCAGGGCCUCGCACUUCCUAGACAAGUGCUUCUGAGGCAGGUUCUCAAUGAGUUACUCAAGCUGGCCUUGAACUCACUCUGUAGCCUCACCUUGAACUUGCAGCCUUGUACUGCAGGCUCCCGAGUAGCUGGGGUUGCAGGUGUCCAUCCAUCCCCCCCCCCCCCCCACCGGGCCCGGCUUUCAUCUUUCCCUGAGUGCUCAGUAGCCCGACCCUUCAGCUCCUACCGCCGCCCCCCCAUCUCAGUGUCCUAGCUCAUUUCCCUUGAGUCGGGGACCUCCUUGUCUCCAGCUGCUGGGGUGCAAGGCUGCACUGGCAUCUGUGCUCUACACCCUUGGCCAUCGUUUUAGUUUUCCUCAAGCUCCAGUUGUUUGAGAUAUCACAAGAGUCACUCAGAAAUGACAGAGUUGGCUGGUUGUGGUGGCACACUCCUUUAAUCCCAGCACUCUGGG